rnacentral:rRNA from 1 species
GGAAGCACCGGCUAACUCCGUGCCAGCAGCCGCGGUAAUACGGAGGGUGCGAGCGUUGUUCGGAUUUAUUGGGCGUAAAGCGCGUGUAGGCGGUUUUUUAAGUCUGAUGUGAAAGCCCCGGGCUCAACCUGGGAAGUGCAUUGGAUACUGGGAGACUUGAAUACGGGAGAGGGUAGUGGAAUUCCUAGUGUAGGAGUGAAAUCCGUAGAUAUUAGGAGGAACACCGGUGGCGAAGGCGGCUACCUGGACCGAUAUUGACGCUGAGACGCGAAAGCGUGGGGAGCAAACAGGAUUAGAUACCCUGGUAGUCCACGCCGUAMAGGAUGAGAACUAGGGUCGCGGGCAAGGAGGSYUUCSGCAUU